CGCUCUUCAGAGACACUCUCUUCGAGCUUAACUUUCCUCCCACUACUUCAUCUUAGAUAAAUAAUUUUUCAAGAAGAUAGCAUGUCGGGUCACAAUCACAUUGUAAUCCUUUCGAAAGAAAAAUAGUAUUUCAAACUCUUUUAGGAUGAGUUUUAUAGACCUAUCCUCUGACAUAUCCACCUGCUGUCCUUGACACAGGCUGGAUAU
rnacentral:lncRNA from 1 species